UUUUCUAAUUCCUAUAGACAGCUUUGGUUGUUGUGAGAUGAUCCUAAUUAAAUUAUGCAAGAGCAGUGAACUAGCUAAGCGUCUUCAGAUCACCUGGUGAAUUAACCCUUCGGGAGCAUCUGCACUGGGGUUCCAGGUCCUCCGCAAAAGCCCACGUUUUUCAUUGUUCUCAGUGGAGAAUCAUGGAAUUCAGAAGUCGGCGUGGAGCCUUUCGGCCUGGUCAUUUUGAGAGGUAGCUCAGUGUGGUGGAUGGAAGAUGACCUUGAAGUAAGGAAAACCUGGGUUCAUCCUCCUGCCUCACCUCUUUACUAGUUGUGUGACCCUAGUGCCCAUGAAUGUCACAGCUGUCAAACGUCUGUACACAAGAAGAUAAAAAAUGAAAUUAAUAAAAGGCAGAUCAACAUUUCGUUUGUUUGGAA